rnacentral:lncRNA from 1 species
GUGGAAGACGUGCGAGCAAUGUCAUGGGAUAAUGAACAGUUGCUGAACGUGGGUGGUUGCGGCGCCGAAACCAUCAGCCUCCUAGGAUUUUUGUGACUUUGAAAAAUUUGGGCUGUAUAGGGUUAUUGGUUUGGGCUUUAUUGGGCCUCAUGUAUUUGGUUUGUAUUUGGCCAAAUGUGGGCUGUAAACAGUUUUGGGCCCCGGGCAAUAAUUGGGUAUUACAGCUGCCCCUCUUUGCUCAUUUUCAUGUAAUGAGAACAGAGCAAAGACUAAAAAGCCUAAUUUUGCCCGGUCAUGCUGGACCUUAAUGCUCUUCUUCUUCUUUAAAUAGCCUCAUUCCCUCCUACUACAUCUUCAGAGGUAUAGAAACUAAUGCUUCAAUCCACCCCACUGCAACGUCAGGGAGAUAAGACUUAAUCUUGUAACUUCUAAAAAGCACAAAACUUGCAAUCUCCAGUCUGCUCCACUGUAACUUCAGGGAGAUAAGACUCGUAGCUUCAACUUAUUCUGCUGAAACCUCAAAGAUGAGUUUGAUACGAUCUGCUCUACUGCAAUUUCAGAGAGAUAAUAUCCGUGGUGUUAAUCCGCUCCACUGCAACUUCAGGGAGAUAGGAUAAUCCUCUUCAAUUUAUCCAAUUACAAUGUCGAGGAAACAAGAUUCGCCGUCGUAGCUUCAAUCCGUUCCACUACACCGUCAGGGAAGUAAGAUCUGCCAUUGUGGCUUCAAUCUUUAAUUGUAAUGUCGGGGAAACCAGAUCCGCCGUCAUAGCUUCAAUCUGUUCCACUACAUCGCCAAAGAGAUAGGAUCCGCUACCCCCAGCUUUAAUCCGCUCCAUUUCGGCUAACCCAAGCCUUAACACUAGGGAGAUAAGAUCCGUCGUCGUGGCUUCAAUCUGCUCCACUGUGACGCCAGAAAAAUAAGAUCCGCCGUUGUGACUUCAAUCUUUUAAUUGCAACGUCAUAAUGAUAAAACUGAUGUCUUCGAUCUGCUUCGCUGCCAGUACAAGAAGGCAAGAUCUGCUAUUUUCAACCUACUCCACUAAUGCCAAGGAGAUAGGAUUAGGUCUUCAGUCUGCUCCACUGCAACUUCAGGGAGAUAAGACUUAAUGUGAUCUGCUCUCUGCAACCUCAGAGAGAUAAGAUCCGUGAUUUAAUCCACUCCACUGCAACUUCAGGGAGAUAGGAUUGGUUCUUCAGUCUACUCCACUGCAACUUCAGAGAGAUAAGACUUGAUGCGAUCUGCUCUCUGCAACCUCGGAGAGAUAAGAUCUGUGAUUUAAUCCACUCCACUGUAACUUCAGGGAGAUAGGAUUGGUUCUUCAAUCUACUCCACUGCAACUUCAGAGAGAUAAGACUUGAUGCGAUCUGCUCUCUGCAACAUCAGAAAGAUAAGAUCUAUAUGUUUUAAUCCACUCCAUUGUAACUUCAAGGAGAUAUGAUUAUUUACUUCAAUCUGUUUAACUGCAGUGUCAGGGAAACAAGAUUCGCCGCCGUGACUUCAAUCUAUUCCACUACACUGCCAGGGAAGUAAGAUCCGCCGUUGUGGCUUCAAUCUUUUAAAUUGCAAUAUCAGGGAAACCAAAUCCGCCGUCGUGGCUUCAAUAUACUCCACUACACCUUCAGGGAAGUAAGAUCCGCCGUUGUGGCUUCAAUCUUUUAAAUUGCAAUGUCGGGGAAACCAGAUCCGCCGUUGUGGCUUCAAUCUUUUUAAUUGCAAUGUUAAGGAAACCAGAUCCGCCGUUGUAGCUUUAAUCUGUUCCACUACACUUCGGGGAAGCAAGAUUCGCCGUUGUGGGUUCAAUCCGUUCCACUGUAAUGCCAAAGAGAUAGGAUUCGCUGCCCACAGCUUCAAUCUGCUCCACUUCAACUAAUCCAGGCCUUAACGCCAGGGAGAUAAGAUCCGCCGUCGUGGCUUCAAUCUACUCCGCUGCAAUGCCAAAAAAAUAAGACCCGCCGUUGUGGCUUCAAUCUUUUUAAUUACAAUGCCAAAGAGAUAGGAUUCGCCUUUGUGGCUUCAAUCUGCUCUGCUGAGACGCCAGGAAAAUAAGAUCCACCGUUGUGGCUUCAGUCUUUUCCAUUGCAACGUCAAGGCGAUAAGACGGGUAUCUUCGAUCUGCUUCGCUACCAGUACAGGAAGGCAAGAUCUGUCAUUUUCAACCUACUCCACUGCUACCCAGGGAGACAAGGCUGGUAUCUUCGAUCUGCUUCGCUGCCAAUACAGGAAGACAAGAUCUGCUAUUUUUAACCUAUUCCACUGCUGCUCAGGGAGAUAAGGCUGAAGUUUCACCAGUUUGUUUUCUAGGGAACAUGACAUGUAUAAUUCAAUUAUGAACCUAAUUAUGCCUAGUGUUUAGGAUGUCAUGAUCAGAAUGAAUCAAAUGCUCCUAACUAGACGUGUAUGAAUGAUAUUUGAAUGAAUGUAGAAUAUUCUUUUUUCCGAGAAUGAUCCCACUUAGGUUGUCAUUACUCAAAGUUUAUUAAGGCUUUAUCACUGACGUGCCACAAUGCCUUCUUGCUUGUCUGGCAUCUCCAAAGAAACACUUAAUUAAAUUGCCCCCAAUGUGAACUUCAAAGUUCAAUCCACUAGUAUACAAAAUUUGUAUAAUCUUUUCACUGUAAUCCAAGGGUACAAAAAAUAUGAUUUUUCAAUCUUCUCCUAUCGCGAUGUGAAGUACUUUGGUCUUUUACCAUUCACAGGGUGUCAUACCAAAUGCCUAUGCACAAACAAAAGAUUUCCUUCUCCAAGGAAACCUCUUCUUAUUGCAAGGUGAUCAUUGCUUGUUUGUUCAUUGACGCUUUGUCACCAACACGACAUCUUAUCAUUUUGUUCAAUCGAUGCCUUUGACAACAAAAAAUCCAAAGAGAUAGUCUUAAUUUAAACUCUUCCUUUUCAGAUUUCUCACCUUUAAACCAGGUGCGUUCUAAACAAUAGUCUUGUUUCAGGUUACUGUACUAUUUAGAAACUUCUAGAGUAAUAUGCAAAACUUCCCUUGUGAAAGUUUUAUUAGUCCAUUAGUCGUUAUUCUAAUGCAACAUGCUUGCAAAAAGAACAAAGUGAUGGAUGAAAUAGAACUGAUUUGAAAGUAUAGCUUGCAAUGAAUAAAUUAUCAAGAAUAUUGAGAAUAAAAGAGGAAUUGACUUAUAUCUUGAAAAAGAAUGAAGUAUUCCAAGAAUAAGCAAAUAUAAAUAGUAUAAAAACUAGGUGCCCUAGAUAUCGCAACUUGAACUUCUCUGUACAAACUUCCUGAAGACCAUUCUGAGUUUGACAUGUGCUUAGGAGAUCUACAAUACUCUGUCGAUGCUCCAAGAUGUCGCGUACCCUUUCCUGCUGAUUUAGGCAUAGCAAGAUCACCGCAUGCCCCAUUUUGAUCAACAUUUGAGUAACUCUAAUCACCUCAUGGCCUAUUCUGAUCAAAAUUUGAACCGCCCUUUUCGGGUUUUCAACUCAAAUCCCCUUUGGUCUAAGGCAUCCUUUGCGAGUUUUCGCCUUAGCCUCUCCAUUUUUACUUUUUCAUUUUCAUUUUUCGUUUUCAUCUUUUCAUUUUUUUCACAUCACUUCUUUUUUCUUUUUUCUUUUUUUUUGGGACUCAAACUGCCAUUUGCAGGUUUUUACCUUGGUCAUCUCCUUCUUUAAGCGAAGUAUUUCUUGAUUGAAUAUGAGUUUACAGGAUUGGACAAGUUUUUACUAUCCAUCUCACUCAAGAUCAGUGCUUCUCUGAAGAAUCCUUCUCUACAUCAUAAGGUUCUUCCAAAUGGUAUCAGUUUCCCUCUAGAAUAUUUUUUUUGUAGAGGGAAGAUCUUCAACAUUAGGUUACCCUCAUAGAAUUCUCUGGGAUGAACCUUUUGUUAUAGGCUCGCAUCAUUCAUUUUUGGUACAUCUAGCCAUGAUGAAUAGCUUUUAACCUUUUUUCUUUCUAUCAGGUUCAACUGAUCACAUCGCGAUUUGAUCCGUUCUGCUUCAUCCAACUUACUCAGCCAAUAUUCGAAGAGAAAGAAUUUUGACUUCAAUGAAGAAAAACCGUGAUACUAAGGAGAAAAGCAUUGCCCCGGUGGAGUUUCCACCGUAUCAUUCAUGAUAUUAAUCUUGAACAUACUGUAAAUUUCUGAUAUCGUGCUAUUGUUCUGAUUGCAAUGACGGUGCUUAACCCGGGCAUAUGCGAAGACGUAGUAACUUAACAAUGUCUUACUUUGUUUCUUCAGUUAUGCUCGUUCCUUUAAGGUUACAAUCUCCACUGUCUCCUUAGGAGGUAAAAAUUAUUCUCUUCUUGCUCUACCAUCCUCAACAAGUUUAGAGAUAGAUUACGAUCUAUGUCAUCUUCAAAGUCAUGAGAUCCCUCCAAACACAUGUCUUGCUCAAAAGGAAAUUCUAAAUCUGUGGCAGUGUCAUUCAAGUCAUUGAUAUCUGGGGGCCCAUAAUAAAUACCAAAGAAUAUACAAAAGAACGUAUAAAUUUAUGAAGAACUAUCUGUAUAAUAUGAUUAUGAAUGAAUGAAUGAUGUGGAAGAAAAUCCAAAAGAAUGAAAGAAUAACUAUUCAAACAGACUGAAAGAAUAUUGGCUCAAAAAUGGUCGCAAGGAUGCAUUUCAUUAAAAUAACGACAUUUAGACAUGAGCCUACUUCACAAAGGAAAUCUUAUUGCCUCUAGGCUAAAAGCAACAAGUGUGUUUUGAACAUUGCUCUAAAUAAGCCCUAAAUAUUACAAAUAUUUCUUCUGCAGUUCGAUUGCUUAAAAUACUCCCAGGUUUACAAAGGUGGAUAUCUUUAACAAGGUCCCUUUUCGAUUGUGUCUUCAUCUAUGACAUUGAUGUGAACGCCUCUCAACGCUUCUUCAUGCAUCACAUUCACCCCAUUAUCAAAUGUGAUUAGGUAGCAGAUUUUCUGCACUGGAUGAAUCACCAAAUUUGACAACACCCAUGUUGAUGAGUCUUUCAACUAGCCUUUUAAAGGUAGUGCAAUUCUCUAUUGAGUGCCCCGUAAUUCCCGCAUGAUAGUCACAUUGUGCGUUCGCAUCAUACCAUUUGGGAUACGGAGGUUGCACAGGUCCUGAGUAGAAUGGAGAUACCACAUGUGCAUUAAACAGCUUCUGAUACAACUCCCCAUAUGUCGUUGGGAUGGGUGUGAACUGGAGCUUCUCAGUACCUUGUUUCACACCUGAGUCUUGUCUUGAUGAACUUUGCUGAUUAGCAACCACCUUUCUUGGCUGAUUCACCAUAAUCGAUUUGCUGUACGAAUUCACGCUGUUGACCUCAUCUUCUUUUUCUUUUGAGGCUUGCCUUCUAUUAUUUCCUCCAGUAUCAAUCUUUCCACUCUUUAUGGCGCUUUCAAUCAUUUCACCAUUCAUGACUAUGUUAGAAAAGCUUUCUGUGGCACUUCCUAACAUAUGUGUAAUGAACGGGGCUUUCAACGUAUUUAUAAAGAGCAUUGCCAUUUCUCUUUCCAAUAGCGGUGGCUGAACUUGGACGACGAUCUCUCUCCACCUCUGUGCAUACUGCCUAAAACCUUCAUUGGACUUCUUCUCCAUGCUUUGCAAGGUAAUUCUAUCAGGAACCAUUUCUGCUACAUGACUGUAUUGCUUCAUAAAAGCUCGUGCCAAAUCCCUCUAGGAACUAAUCUUGGUAUGGCUCAAUUGAUUGUACCAUUUAGAUGUUGCCCCUGUGAGGCUAUCUUGGAAGCAAUGUAUUAAUAAUUGGUCGUUGUUAACAUACCCAGUCAUUCGCCUACAAAACAUGGUAAUGUGGGCUUCAGGGCAACUAGUCCCAUUAUACUUCUCGAAUUCUAGCAUUUUGAACUUGUGAGGGAGCACCAAAUCUGGGACCAAACUCAGUUCCUUAGCAUCAAUCCCGCUAUAUCUCUCAGUGCUUUCCAUCGCUCUGAAUUUCUGCUCAACCCACUUCCACCUUUCUUCAAAUUGCUUUGGCAAUUCCUCUCUUAUUUUUUCUUUUCCGACAGCCUUAUCGAAGUCGGGGAUGAUAAGAUUGACAUGAUUAUUCUCAGGGCUAGAGCCUGAUCCAGCCUGGUAAUUCAUCGACCUUGAAGCAUCGGCCUGAAAUUAUUGAGGCCUAAUCAUACAGAAGAUUUACGAUGGUACACUUCCACUUGGGGUUGCACAUGUGGGGGAGUGAAGCCUGAAGGAUACAGGGGUCCAUCAUCACCUUCCUCUUUAACAUUGGCCAUGGGGCCCUUUCCUUUAUCCUUCCCUUCCGUCAAUAACUGCGUUAACUUUGUCAUCAUACUUCCUUGAGAUUCCAUCAUUUUAUCCAUCAUUUUCUGCUAAAUCUUCUCGAGCUGCUCUUGCAUCUGUUGCUGAAGUUGAUCCUGCAUUUCUUUUUGGAACUGCUCGAGCUUUUCCAAUCUUUGGUCCAUACUUCUUGACUUUGCUCGGGUACCGUAAGGGUAUUUGGUUGACUGGUUGGUUUCCAGAUUAGCUGAUGAAUGAUUUUAACCAAUUAAGGCUUUUUAAUGGAUUUUAAUGCAUAUGAUGUCAUGCAAUGCAAAUGCAUGAAAUAAAUGCAUAAAAGAGAUGUUGAUUCUAAUUCAAUUGCAUUUAGAAAACUUUACUAGAAUACAAAUUUCUUUACAUAAGGCGAGAAUAUAUACGGCUUUGCCCUUAUACUCCAAGAAACAUCGAUCUCUCUCUUCAUUCGUAUGUUUAAGAUAAAUCUCGCAGAUUUCCAAUGGAUGCCACUACUAACUCCUUUUUGCUUGAUCUAGGUUAUGAUCCAUCGUAUGCCCAUCCUCUUAAUGCUCCUCAACUUCUUUAAGGAAGUUGGAAUGUCAGAAACUUUUGAAUAAUUAGCUUGACCUUGAGGCACGAAGUAAAGUCAUGUAUUCCUCCAUCACCCUUAUUGCGUUUCUCGGAAUAUAUUCAGGCAGCCGUAUUAUCUUCCACUUUAUCAAGAAACCCAUUUCCCAUGAUAAACUUUCUGUCUAGCAACCGAAUACGAAACAACGCCUCUUUAUAAUGGAAUGUCAUGUAAUUGUAAUGCCAUACAAUCAGAGUAAAACACAAAAAGUCAGUAACAAUUAAAUACAAUACAACCAAGAAAUAGUAAAAAUUCCUAAUUAGGUGUCUACUAAGGUUCAAAGUAAUUCUACCUAGGGUGGGUUCCUAAGGUUCACUAGAUGAGGUUUUGGCUUCUAGAGCAAGGGUACCCGAACGAGCAGAUUCCUCGAUCCUCACCCAUUAUAGGCUCAUAAGGACCGUGUUCGGUUCAGGGGAAUACAUUUCCGUAUGGGUGCACAGAGAUAAAAAUCUCACGAAGACAUAGGUACGGAUGUAUCCUGAAAGCGAUCCACAAUCCUACACGGAGGUGAAAACCUCACGAAGGACUAGCUUCUCACUCCCACUUAGAGGGGUAAAAUUGACCAACCAAUGCAAUGCAAAAUGCAAAUAAACUAAUAGAAUUAAACCAACCAAACAAGCAUAUAAUAAUUAAAACUAAUGAAUGCAAUGGGAAAAUCAGGUUUUAAAACAACUUUGAAUUUUCGAUAAAAAAGACAGAAGAUAAUCAAUUCAUGGCUCGACUCUCAGAAUUCCCCAGUGGAGUCGCCAAGCUGUCGAAACCAUUUUUGAAAACAAAAAUCAGUUAUCGACUUUAAAGAAUAAAAAUUGGAGUCGCCACCGAUCCUUGAUUAAGGUGUGAUCGACUCACCUUAAAAACGAUUUUGGUCUGCGAAAUUUGAGAAAACAGGUUCGGGAGUCAGUUACGCAUGAGGAAGGGUUAGCACCCUCGUAACGCCCAAAAUCGGUACCGAAUUGAUUGUUUAAUGCCUUUAGUGUCGAAAAUUUGAAAAGAUUUUAAAAGUAAACUUUUAACUCGAAUGAAUUAAAAAUAAGACAUCCUAGUUUCAAAGAAAUAAAACAUCACACCCAGUGAGUUAGGGCACAAUAUUUUUAAAUCUUCAAAAUCAAGUUAUCUUUUGAUCUUAAAAAUCCUUAUUCGAGAAGGNNNNNNNNNNNNNNNNNNNNNNNNNNNNNNNNNNNNNNNNNNNNNNNNNNNNNNNNNNNNNNNNNNNNNNNNNNNNNNNNNNNNNNNNNNNNNNNNNNNNUAUAUAUAUAGAAUUAAAAAUAUGGAAAAUGUAUAAAUACUAUAAAGUGAUAAUGUAUGUACGUAUAUAUAAAAACUAUGAAAAAUAAAAAAAAUGUAAUAAUAAUAAAAUAUGUAUAUGAUUUAAAAACUUUUAAAAUAUAUACAUAAAAUAUAUAUUAUAAAACACAUAUGCAUAUAUAUACGUAAGUAUAAUAAUAAUUACAAUAAAUAAUAAUAUAAUAAUAGUGAAAAAAAAUGACAAAAGGACUAAUUUAUAUUUUAAUUAAAAAUUCGGGAUAAAUUUGAAAUAGAUAAAAUACGAAUGGACCAUUUAGAACACGUAAUCAACGGUGGAGGACCCAAAGAGAAAUUUACCCAAACAUCCCAAACAUUGCACAGCAACAUGGACCGAAUUGAAAAAUAAAUAAAACGUGUAGUUAAAAUUGCAAAUAUAUAAAAAGAAUAAUUAAACAAACUUCAUAAAAACUGAGGACUCAACGCGCAAAUUUCCCAACAAGGGCCAAAACACGCAGAUCCAUAGCCAUUAAACGGCAUUGUUUUAAUAUACUGCAUAAAAAACCAUUUAAAACUUGUUUUAAAACAAAAUUAGGUCACUUUUCUUUUUGUUUGAAAAUACAACAGCAGACUCAGCCCCCCUCCGCCGUUUCAGACUUCGACGAAACGAGGACGCCCUCCGACGACCCUCACGACGGUAAGUCCUCCUUUCUUUCUCCUUUUUCGUUUAUCUUCCAAAUAGUUUUUUUGAUUUUUCUUUGUUUGUAUUUCAGUCUUUCACUACAACAAUCAUCUAACCCCCAUUACAAAUUGAAAUCAGCCUUUUUUAUCUGAGCCGCACCCCAAAAAAUAAUAAAUCUCCUAAAAAUCCAAAUAAAAUAAAAUCAAAAUCUCUAAAUAAAUAAAACUACUUCCUCUUAUUUGCUGCCUCUACUGCCAUUUUGAUCAAUUUUUCGCAGGUAUGGAGAUCGUGGAAGACGUGCGAGCAAUGUCAUGGGAUAAUGAACAGUUGCUGAACGUGGGNNNNNNNNNNNNNNNNNNNNNNNNNNNNNNNNNNNNNNNNNNNNNNNNNNNNNNNNNNNNNNNNNNNNNNNNNNNNNNNNNNUUGGGCCUCAUGUAUUUGGUUUGUAUUCGGCCAAAUGUGGGCUGUAAACAGUUUUGGGCCCCGGGCAAUAAUUGGGUAUUACAUACGCGAUUAUUAUAUUUCUUAGUCUAUUUUUUGACAGAGUUAAAAAAAAAAUCUUAUAAUCAAUCACCAAGCGCCACGUGAUGUCUUGAUGUAAAAAACAAACAUUUUCUUUUAUUAAAUGUAUAUUCACAUUAGAAAAUAUAAAAAUGGAAAUAAAUAUAUAAAAAUUCAGAAAAAUAUAUAAAAUAUAAAAUUAAAAUUAAAAAAAUAUGAUAAUUGAAAAGAAAUUAGUUGAAAUUAAUAAAAUUAUUACAAAAUGUAAAAAAAUUGUUAAAAAACAAUUGAAAAUAAUUUGUUAAUAUAAUUUUAAAAUAUAUAAUUAUAAAAUGUACUUAAAUUUCAAGUUUUUUUUUUGC